UACGAAGGGGGCUAGCGUUGCUCGGAAUCACUGGGCGUAAAGCGCACGUAGGCGGCUUUCUAAGUCAGGGGUGAAAUCCUGGAGCUCAACUCCAGAACUGCCUUUGAUACUGGCUUUCUAGAGGCUGGAAGAGGUUAGUGGAAUUCCCAGUGUAGAGGUGAAAUUCGUAGAUAUUGGGAAGAACACCAGUGGCGAAGGCGGCUAACUGGUCCAGAUCUGACGCUGAGGUGCGAAAGCGUGGGGAGCAAACAGG
rnacentral:rRNA from 1 species